CACACAAACUCUCUGAACUUAAUCAGUUUUUAAAACUCUGUCUUUGAAACAGGAACUUGCCUUGGGUCUCCUGAAACCGAAAAACACAGCUCUUGCCUUCCUCCUGGAAGUCACCUUGUCCUUUGGAGCCUUCGCCUGCAGGAGGUGGCUUCCUGUGGCUGGUGAGAAGCUGGCUCCUUUUUGCAGAGUUCUUGUUCUUCCAAAACCAAGGGCGGGCUGCAUAGCAUGGGAUUGUAUGGAUGUACCAGUAUUUACCUGUUCAAUCCGUGUUGAUGAGCAUGAGGGUGAUUUCCAAUUAUCAACAUUAUGAACAAUACUGCAGUGAGUAUGCGGUUACAUUUUCAGACAUCAGGACUAUUUAUUGCACUGAAAAAACACGAAUAAAAUCAG